CCUACGGGGGGCAGCAAUAGGGAAUAUUGGUCAAUGGGCGAAAGCCUGAACCAGCCAUGCCGCGUGAGUGAUGAAGGCCUUCGGGUCGUAAAACUCUUUUCUGAGAGAAGAACAUCCCGGGUAGGAAAUGCCCCGGGCUUGACGGUAUCUCAGGAAUAAGCAACGGCUAACUCCGUGCCAGCAGCCGCGGUAAUACGGAGGUUGCAAGCGUUGUUCGGAAUAACUGGGCGUAAAGGGAGCGCAGGCGGUUCUAUAAGUCUAAAGUGGAAGCCCGGGGCUUAACCUCGGAAGUGCUUUGGAUACUGUGGAACUUGAGUUCGUGAGAGGAAAGCGGAAUUCCAGGUGUAGCGGUGAAAUGCGUAGAUAUCUGGAGGAACACCGGUGGCGAAAGCGGCUUUCUGGCACGAUACUGACGCUGAGGCUCGAAAGCAUGGGGAGCGAACA
rnacentral:rRNA from 1 species